UUUUUUUGGUUGGCUCUGUCAAAUAUAUUAUUGUGGUUGGCUGAAGCAGAGAUUCUUGUAUUUGUGCAAGAAAGAUGUUAGCUGUGAGAUAGAGAGUAGCAGUAAGCAAACUAGCAAGGUUUAACAGGGUAGGGCAUCUGUCAGAGUGGAUGGACACUUCUCCAGGUAGAGCUUAAGAGAGAGAAAGAGAGAAUGUCCAGUCAUUCAAACUGGAAUAAACAAGGUUACCCAGUUUAAUGGAAAGAAUCCAUGUGACAGGCCAGCAGACAUCUUUGUGAAGAACUGAGAGUGGCGACAGCUCAGAUCAGCACCAACCACCUCAAGGAGGGUUCUAGUCCCGGUUGGGGUGCUGGAUUGGAUUCUGUCCCGGUUGCUCUUCUUCCAGUCCAGCUCUCUGCUGUGGCCUGGAAAGGCAGUGGAGGAUGGUCCAAGUGCUUGGGCCCUGCACCCACAUGUGAGACCAGGAAGAAGCACCCGGCUCCUGGCUUUGGAUCAACGUAGCAGCGACCACAGGGCGCCAGCUGUAGCGGCCAUUUCGGGGGUGAACCAAAGCUCACCUCGGCCUAUCUCCAUCUGAGAAAUCCAUCUCUCUUCUGGUCCAGCUGAAGCUGAGUCUGAGAAGCAUGAAUUUUACAGCUGGUCUGAGAGUGGCUUCGUUGUUUUUAGCAUUGUUUGCUGACACCUACAAAAAGAAUGAAACUCCAGAUUGAGUGAUUAUUCCUACCAUGGAGAGACAGACAGGGGUAGCAGGGGACAGACAGAGAUCUCCCCAUUUGUUCACACCUCAAAUGCCUGCACAACAGCCAGGAAGGACAAGGCCCGGCUGAACUCCGGAGCUCAGUGCCUCCUAUGUGGAUACAGGAACUGAACUACUUCAGCCGCCACCUGCUGCCUCCCAGGAAGCUGGAACUGGAAGUAGAGCUGGGACUCAAACUCAGUUACUCCAAUAUGUGAGGUAGGCCUAUCAAACUGCUACACCCAAUACUCACUCCCCAUUAACAUUUUAUGCACAAAUCUGUGAAUUAAAACAUGAGUUUCUUCACGACAUAGCCAUGUCUUAUUUGUUUCUGUUUCUGUCCAGACCACAGGAUAUUGGACGCAGAAGGGAUUAUGAUUUGCUUAUAUACAACUCCUUUCCUCUAUUUUGUAGAAGACAAAUAAUUCAGUAUAGUGGAAAUAGAAAGGGAUUAUGUAGGAAAUGAAUUCUAUAGCUGAAUCUUAGAAAAGUAGCAUUCUUUUCUGGAGACUCUCAGGAAGAAUAUUCCCAAGUGGGACCUGUGAACUUCUGGUAAACAUUUCUCUCUUAUCUGAACAUAGAUUGUUCCUAGGUUCUAUAAUUCCAAAGUGAAGCAUUCUGGAGUCACUGCUCCAUCUCCUGUAGGAUACCUGUCCUGCAAAAUGGGAUAAUGAGUAAUAUACAUGCAUCUUGAAAGUAACAUUCACUAGCAUUGGGUGAGACUGGACUCCGAGCAAUUGGCUUGACAGGAUGGGCAAAGAAACCCAGAAUCUUAAAGUAGCACGAGAUCAAAUGCUGCUGGAUUUCUGAUCUGAGAUGGAAAGCAAGGAUGGCAAAGCUGGUAAGGUGGAGAUCAGAGGCCCUUUUUCUAUUUUUGUACCCAGUCUAAGUCUCCCUGACAGAAUUUUUCAGAAUACCUAGUUAUUUUUCUUGGGUAUUGAUUGCAAAAGUCAGCUUACAGAAAGAUUCAAACUCACUGUACAAUUAUUGUAAUGAAAUGUCACAUUUCACACACACACAUACAUGCUCAAACAGAUAUUCUUUGGAGCUUCUGUUUCUGUUAUGAUACUCUCAAAAGUUUCUCCCUGACGAGAAUAAAAUAUGACCAUAGAAUGCAAAACAACAUUGCAUCUUCAUAACCAAACUUGAUUUUUCUUUUGCUCUAAGUAUAUUUUAAGUAGGUUUAAGGAUAGUUAUGUAUGUUGAUAAAUUAACAUCUAUUAAUUUUUUGAAAGCUAUACUUUAUAUCUCAGCAGUUAUUAAGGAUCAAUCUAUUAGGAUAAAAUGAAAAAAAAAAGUCUUUAUCCUCCUCCAAGUAAUUCACUGUUGAAGUUAUAAAACAAUAAAGAGCCACUAAAUAUUUGGUUGAAAAAGCUAGGACUUAUUGUAAGUAAAAUAGAUGCUUAACAUAGUUAGACAUAACAUAGUUAAAAGAGGCAGUAGCAAUUCUUUGGGUUUAGAUAGUUUCCUUUGAAUUUUUUAAAGAUUUAUUUUAUUUAUUUGAAAGAGUUACAAAGAGAGGUAGAAUCAGAGAGAGAGAGAGACAGAGAGAGAGACAG